rnacentral:rRNA from 1 species
AUUGAACGCUGGCGGCAGGCCUAACACAUGCAAGUCGAACGGUAACAGGAAGAAGCUUGCUUCUUUGCUGACGAGUGGCGGACGGGUGAGUAAUGUCUGGGAAACUGCCUGAUGGAGGGGGAUAACUACUGGAAACGGUAGCUAAUACCGCAUAACGUCGCAAGACCAAAGAGGGGGACCUUCGGGCCUCUUGCCAUCGGAUGUGCCCAGAUGGGAUUAGCUAGUUGGUGGGGUAACGGCUCACCAAGGCGACGAUCCCUAGCUGGUCUGAGAGGAUGACCGGCCACACUGGAACUGAGACACGGUCCAGACUCCUACGGGAGGCGGCAGUGGGGAAUAUUGCACAAUGGGCGCAAGCCUGAUGCAGCCAUGCCGCGUGUAUGAAGAAGGCCUUCGGGUUGUAAAGUACUUUCAGCGGGGAGGAAGGGAGUAAAGUUAAUACCUUUGCUCAUUGACGUUACCCGCAGAAGAAGCACCGGCUAACUCCGUGCCAGCAGCCGCCGUAA